AUUGAACGCUGGCGGCAGGCCUAACACAUGCCAGUCGAACGGUAACAGGAAACAGCUUGCUGUUUCGCUGACGAGUGGCGGACGGGUGAGUAAUGUCUGGGAAACUGCCUGAUGGAGGGGGAUAACUACUGGAAACGGUAGCUAAUACCGCAUAACGUCGCAAGACCAAAGAGGGGGACCUUCGGGCCUCUUGCCAUCGGAUGUGCCCAGAUGGGAUUAGCUAGUAGGUGGGGUAACGGCUCACCUCGGCGACGAUCCCUAGCUGGUCUGAGAGGAUGACCAGCCACACUGGAACGGAGACACGGUCCAGACUCCUACGGGAGGCAGCAGUGGGGAAUAUGGCACAAUGGGCGCAAGCCUGAUGCAGCCAUGCGGGGUGGAUGAAGAAGGCCUUCGGGUGGUAAAGUACUUUCAGCGGGGAGGAAGGGAGUAAAGUUAAUACCUUUGCUCAUGGACGUUACCCGAAGAAGAAGCACCGGCUAACUCCGU
rnacentral:rRNA from 1 species